UACAGCAUGAAUCAAAUAAUGCUUGGAGGGAGUGACAGCAUAUAAAAGAUCAUUUGCAAAGUCGUUAAAAUCAUUGGGUGGUCAUGAACUUUUGCUCUAGAGAAGAAGACCCCUAAAUUAUAUCCUUCAGAAGCAGGAACAAAAAUGCGCACAAACCACAUAAACACAACUUUUGUAUCCAACUAAAUAGAAACAAUAACAUUCAAAAACAUACACAUCCAACAAGGCAUCAGAUAAACACAAGUAUAAACUUUGAGCGUGUAAAUUAAUAUCUAUGAAGGCAGAAAUUCAGAUGAACUGUAAAAUGUGCAACAUCAGUAGUUGAAUGAGCAAAUUCUGCAACAGGGACAAAUGACAGCUUAAUUCUAUCUGUA
rnacentral:lncRNA from 1 species